AACGCGAAGAACCUUACCAGGUCUUGACAUCCUCUGACAACCCUAGAGAUAGGGCGUUCCCUUCGGGGACAGAGUGACAGGUGGUGCAUGGUUGUCGUCAGCUCGUGUCGUGAGAUGUUGGGUUAAGUCCCGCAACGAGCGCAACCCUUGAUCUUAGUUGCCAGCAUUUAGUUGGGCACUCUAAGGUGACUGCCGGUGACAAACCGGAGGAAGGUGGGGAUGACGUCAAAUCAUCAUGCCCCUUAUGACCUGGGCUACACACGUGCUACAAUGGAUAGUACAAAGGGUUGCAAGACCGCGAGGUGGAGCUAAUCCCAUAAAACUAUUCUCAGUUCGGAUUGUAGGCUGCAACUCGCCUACAUGAAGCCGGAAUCACUAGUAAUCGCGGAUCAGCAUGCCGCGUAUU
rnacentral:rRNA from 1 species